rnacentral:lncRNA from 1 species
GUGCUGCAUAGUCAUAUCUACAAACAUGUGGAUUAGAGGGAUAAUAAUUCCUGACCUCUGCUUUUCUUCUAGCCUAUGAGGCACUUUUUAAUCUGCCAACUUCUUUGAAAUUGCAAGCUAUAUUCUCUUUACUGAGGCUUUACCACACUCUAAACCCAGAAGUUGGAGAAGCUGUAUCAGUGGGAUUGAUUAUCUGUGAUAUAUUAAUAAUUCAAGAUGAUAUUUGAGUAGGGUUAUAUAAUUCUUCCGUCUUGGGAAUAUUGAAUCAAUCCCAAAUCAGGAGAUCCUUGAGUGGUGAUCAUGGGUCCCAUCAGGAAAAG